CUUGGCUUCCAAAAGCAACAGUCCAGGCUGCUCUAGCCCCAGACGCCCUGGACAUGGUUCGCAAGUCUUCAGAGAACCCUGACCCUAUAGACAUUGACCGUGGAGAGCAGAUCCUGACCAUAGCAGUCCUCAGCAUCUUAGUGACCGCUCCUCUAGGCUCCAUCGGCAUCACGCUAGGAGGUCCACACUUACUGUCUCAGGAACAUCCUGAAUCGACCUCUGAACAAGACAAGUCCCAUUCCAAAGAGAAAGAAGUGGCCGUGGAAAAAGUUUAAACAACUAGAAUAUGCUGCACGGGCAAUAGCUACAUUUCCUCAGGCUUAAGUUAAAGGUAAAGCAACAUAAUUGCAUUGUCUUAUGGUAAAUUUAAAGCACUUCAACUGCCAAAAAGUGGUAAAAAAUUUAAUUUUUUUAAAGUCCUAAAUGCUAUCAAAAGUCCUGUAUUUGGCCUAACACAUAUAGAUUUGUAAAAAUGAUAGUACUCAAGUCAUGAAUUUGAUUGUAUAACUAAUGAUAAUAAUAUACUGACGACUAAAAGCUAUAAUGUUUGAAAAUACUCAGAUCAUUUUUGCCUUUUACCAGAUAAUUGCCUGUGCAUUUAUACUUCUUUGUUCAAAAAUACGUAAGGGCAAUUAAUGUAAAUAUUGUUUAGAUCAAUAAUAGCUUUAAUGUUAGAUUGUCACGUUAAUUUUAAGCGUUUUAAACUUUUUUACUUUUCUUAGUUAUAAAGAAGUGCAAUAUGACAACUAUGUAGGUACUUAAUUUAUUCUUUGUACUUUGAAACUAUAUUACUCAUCUGAUUUUGAAACGCUCUCGUAUUUUAUUCCAGAAACAGAAUGUGUUCAAUUUUAUAAACACAGGGAUUUAACGAAAAUAGAAUUCAAUCAAAAUGUAUCUAUUUAAUUUCUAACAUUGUAUACAUUUAUUUCACAUAAGCAUUUUAUUGUAGAUCCAACUGUGGUUGUAACAAGUAAGAAAUGAUUCCACGUUUUAGCUUCCUGUUUUUAGUAUUGUUAGUCGUAACAUUGAUUGUUCUCCAAUGGAGUAAUGCAUAGUUAAGUGUUCAAGAAGUUUUAGAAUAUGUAUAGUGAAAUUUUAAUAGUGUUGAUUUUAUAGCUAGUUUAUGCACCAUUGGAUUUUUUUGUAUUUUCUCAUUUAUUUUGAUUCAUUCAAUUAUGAAUAACUUAUGGCUAGAUUAUCGUGGCUGCUGAUUUUCAAUCAGUUUAUUUUGUUGUUUUAGUUGGUAGGAUUUCCUAAUGGCCAUUAUUAAAAAAAAAACCCCUUCUUACUUCCCCUUUAUGAAUUUUUACUAGAUUAAAAAUGUCUAACUAAUUUAAAUUUUUCCGGAAAAACAUUAAAGUUUUUUAGUGGAUCAACGCAUUUGGUAAAAGAAAGUAAACUUAAACUAACUUUUUUUUGUCAUGACUUGCUUCUAAAUUUAAUAUACAAAAAAAUCCAAUGUGUACGAGUAUUGUUACUGUAUAUUUUCUUUGUAAAUAUUGUACAGGGUUCUUGUUAAUCUGUGGCAUUACAGAAUUUAACGUUAGUUCCUUAGAUGUAAGUAGAAUCUGUUAUAACAAUUGCUCUUUCAAAUAUUCUUUUUUAUUUCUCCUAAUAUCAUCAGUAACUACCUUAAAAAUUCAGUUGGUAUUUUCAAAUUGGCUAAUUUAAUUUUUAAGUAGACAAAAAAAGUUUUAUACACAGAUAAAAACAGUAAUAAGCUCUUUUCAGUAUUGAUAUUGUUGAUAGAGUUUGGCUCCCUUAAUCAAGUACUGUAGUUUUUUUCUAAUGAAACUUUCAUUAUUAUCUAUGACUUUUCUCUCCCUGGGGGAGGGGGAUGAAAUCCUUCACAAUUCUUAAUAACUUUAAAUUUGAAAUCUGUUUACUAAUUGAAAAGUGAUGAGAUUGUUCAUUUAAGAAUUAAAGUUAAAUCUAUAAUUUUAAUAAUCUUCUAUCUAGAACUACAGUAUUAAAAAUAUCGGAUGUUGGAAAUUGGUUGACCUGUUCAUGUAAUAGUGAAAUUAGAAAUACAACAUUUAAAGGUAGAGUGAAGAGAGCUAGUUUCGCUCAAAUUGAGGGUUGUGUUGUUUAUAUAAACUUACAUACAUACGAUAUAAAUAAAACAAUAGUAGUACUUAAUUAUUCCUCUUCCCAUAACAAAUUUGUCUUUUUGAAUUAAUGUGAUAACAAAAUAUGUUAGGCAAAGUAGAAUUUAGAUUCAAUGCUAUUAUUGAGAAUGAAGGGUCGUUUUUAUAUCAUAUUUUCCAUUUCUUCUCUCUCCCUUUUCUUCCUUUGUUUGUUACUAUAUUCAAACAAAUUUGAAAAAAGAUGUGCACAAAAAUUUUAAUCAAUCUUUCAUUGAAAGGGUAAAACAGUUGAAUACAAAGGGAUAUGUAAUAUUAGUUUUGCUUAUUAAAAAAAUGUUUUAUAAUAUUAUUGUUGUUAUUUAAAUUAAUAUAAAUUAUUCAUUGAGUGUUAAAAAUAAUAAUUUUAAAAGAUUUAUAUUUCUGUUAAUUGUUUGUUCUGUAAAAAUGUAUUUUAUCAUAGUUCUAAUAACAAAAUGUUAAAUUUUUAAAUAGUUUUAUUGUAAGUCGGUUAAAGUUAUUUUGAUCUUAAUUUGUUGAAAAAAAAUAUCUUUUUUUAAUUAAUUCUAGUAAAUAUUUUAUAAAUGAAGAUAAUUUAUGGAGCAUUUUUUUUAAAUAUUAGUUGAAUAUAAUCAUAACAUAUUUUAAAUAAUUUAUCCUCCAUCUAUAGUUUUUUAAAGAAAGAUUGUCAUAGUGCGUUAAAUUUCAAGGUUAAAUGAAAACCAUAAGUUUGUUUAAUAUAAAUAUUAAUCACACACUUCCAAAAUACUGUUAAAAAUAGGUACUAAUAAAUUAAAGCCUGCAAAGAAUUUAAAUAUAUACUUGUAAAGAAGGGCACAAUUAGAUAACCUUAAAAAAACUGUUUUCUUCUUUAGUUAAAUAGAAAAUUCAAUUCUGUAGAUGUUUUUCAAACAAUAAAAAGUAGAUUUGAAAUAAUUUGUCCAACCCUGUUUAAUAACCAAAUAAAUUUAAAUGUUAUACUGUACUCUAAAUAUUGAAAAUAAAACUUCAAAUAUAUUUAAAUAUAAAACUAAGAAUUAAGUGUCGAUGUAUAAUUUACUUUUCAUUUUUUAAUGUUAAUUUCCAAUCAGUUUUGAAUUCAAAACUCCGAACGCAUGAACUGCAAAUGUUUCAAACUAUUGUUAGAGAAACGCCAAACAAAAAUAUUGAAAUGUUUAGCCAAAUAGAAUAUUAGGUUAGACUAGUUGUAGCCGUUAGAUUUGUGUGAAAACCACUAAUUUAGGUAGCUCUUAAUUGUGCAUGGAAAAUGUUCUUAACUGUCUUUUAUUCUCAAGUCGCUGUUAGUUGGAUAAAUUAAGUUUUAAGUCUAAAUUUACAAUUCUCUGUAUAAUUUUGUUAAAUGACUUUGUAGAGGUUUCUAAUAUAGUGAGAUUUGGGAAAAGAAUGAGAUUUAGCAGUGCAAUAUGCGCGAUGAUUUUUCUUUCGACUAGUCAAUUUAAGGUGCAUUAUUAACGUAAAGUUUUAUCGUGGGCUCUGCUGCUAUAUUCACUGACUAUACAUCUAAGUCUAUGCUACAUAGUGUUCUAUAUGCAGUGCCAAUCAAACAAAACUUUAAGACAUCAGAUUGGUUAACAUCAAUGGUUUAUAAUUUUGAUUUAAUAUAACAUUUGAGUUUUAAUAGGUUUAAUAUUUAUUUGCCUAGUUGUGUUACCUAAAUAUACUUCAUAGCAUAUCUUAACCAGAAAAUGUGUAAAAUACAUUGUUUAUUGAAUCUAAAAAUUUAAAAGGUAUACAUUUGAAUUUUUGGCCAAUUUUAAAAACACUUUAAGCACUUAAAGGCACUUAGGCUAUUGGCAAAACUAUUCUGGUAUCCAUUUUUAUAAUUUGUUUGUGCCUUUGCAUUUAUCUCUUAAACUUUGCACCUAAGAGAAACCGUUGUAAAAUGUUUUGUUUAAAAACAUGUCUUUCCACUUUCAUUGUUUUCAUAUUGGCACUGCAUUGUAUGGAAACCACCCAUAUCAGUAUUACUUGCAAUGUAAAAAGCUUGGAAGAAAUUUUCACUUGAAACAGUCACUACUCCAAAAUCAGCACCUAAUAGUGAGAUUUAACAUGUGCCAAUCGAUAUUCACCCAUAUUCAAUAUUCGCUCAACUCAGGCAUACUAACAUGGCUCCGUUACGUUUUGAUAUAUUUUAUAUUCUAUGUACAUAACAACAAAACUGAGUUUGACUCACAUGUAGGUGAUGUAAUCAUGUAGGCUGUGAAAAUGCUUCUAUUGGUUUUAAUGCUCAGCAAAUCUUAGUCUUCAAUUCUUUUGUGAGCGAUGCAACAUGCAACCAAUUAUUAAGUUAAUUCUUUAUAAUAUAGGGCACAAGACCUUUGGUGUUAUAGAUUUUUUGUCAGAAUGGCACUUACCUGAAUGGAGAAGAGUCCAAAUUGGCACAAGAAACACAAACCCUUAUACUAUAGACAAAAAAUUAGAAUAUUUCACUGUCACUGGCAGGGUUCUCAACUGAGAAAGGUAUGAGAUGAAGAAAGGUUCUUCUUCACGCCUGAUGGUGGCCAGUGUUCUGUGUUUCUUGUGCCGGUUUGUUUCUUUCCAAUGUAGGUAAGCUUGCUAUCCACACAAGAAUCCUCAUUCCUUAAAAGGUUCAGCCUUUUUCAAACUUGUUAUCUAUUUGUUUAAAGCUUUCACUACUAAGACUCACAAUACUCACAAAUAAAAAAAAUUGGAUCUUGGUAGGGAAAGUUUUAACCCAUCAAACUCUUUCAUACACCUUAAUGCCAAGUUUAUUUCAAUAAAAUAAUUGUGUUCAAAAAGUUUUGCUUAUGAAGCGAAGACACUAAACUUCCACCACUCAUUUCCAGAUAAAUCUCCAGUUUUAGUUCCAGCAGUAUUUAUUUUGUUAGAGUUGCAGCUCCUUGCCAAAUUUACGUAUAGGAAAGUGUGUAGGGUAAGGUCGUAGGUUGUAAUGUGGUCCCCUGAAAGAGAUGUGUCGAUCGUCAACUCUUAUCGUCAAUUGAAUAUUCAAACUGUCAAGCAAUAAAUGAAGUGAGUUUUUUUACAAUUAUGAAUUUUAAAUUAGAAUCCACCUUGCUUCCCUCGCUUAUUUAGGCCUAAUGAUUGUGUGAUUCUAACCUAUUUACGACCAUUUUUUGUAAACGUAUCACUGUUCAUCUGUAGUUUUUUGACUCAAGAUUUACUGUCGGAAUUUUAGUAAAACAGCAUUUUAUUCUUUAAAUAUUUACAAAUCUGAUAUUCUUAUACAGAUUUAUUUAGUAUAGUUAUUUAUAUUAGUGUUUUGUGAUCUGUAAAUAUCCAGAUAAAUAGACAAUUUAAAUAAUAAAAUUUCUUUUAAUGUGUUUAUACAUUUUAACAUGAUUUUUUGCAAUGUGUACUUAACUUUUGUAGUACUGUACUUAUGUUCGCAUAUCAGUUAUAUCUUAUUGUUGCAUUUACUUUUUUAUUUUCAUCUCUAAAUCUGGAUGUUUACUUGAACAAACACGCUUAAAAUUGCAUUUACUAUCAGUCUUUUGACUUUUUACUGUAGCACUGUAGACAUUUGAUUAGAAAACUACUUAUGACCUAGAUCUCUUCUACAGUUGUUCUAGUUUAGUUUAGAGUCGAAGAUGGUAAGUUCAGUUCUGUGAUCCCAAAGACCAAUCGUAUGUUUUCACUACACUGUGGGACACAUCUCUUGAGUAGCGUUCGUUGUCUGGUGUACUCUGUACAAAUUGUAAUGUGUCUUUCAUUUGACAAAUUACAUCUCAAAACUAA